AGCAGCCGCGGUAAUUCCAGCUCCAAUAGCGUAUAUUAAAGUUGUUGCAGUUAAAAAGCUCGUAGUUGAAUUUCGGGAUCAAUUUGCUGGUCGUGCCUCUGGUACGUACUGGUAUUAUUGGUUUCUCCCUUCUGACGAACCAUGAUGUCAUUAAUUUGAUGUCGUGGAGAAUCAGGACUGUUACUUUGAAAAAUUAGAGUGUUUAAAGCAGGCAUUAGCUUGAAUACAUUAGCAUGGAAUAAUGAAAUAGGACGUUUGAUCCUAUUUUGUUGGUUUCUAGGAUUGACGUAAUGAUUAAUAGGGAUAGUUGGGGGCAUUAGUAUUCAAUUGUCAGAGGUGAAAUUCUUGGAUUUAUUGAAGACUAACUACUGCGAAAGCAUUUGCCAAGGAUGUUUUCAUUAAUCAAGAACGAAAGUUAGGGGAUCGAAGACGAUCAGAUACCG
rnacentral:rRNA from 1 species